rnacentral:lncRNA from 1 species
UUUUAUUCUUUUUAGAUGAUUAUCCCGGGGCUCCUCUGAGAAAAGUAGGAGUAGAUUGCUGGAAUUACCAUGGGUUAAAAUGAAAGAGGAUGACCUGGCUGGACAAAGGCGUAUGGACUCAGGAAGACGAGAACUCCUGCUCCUUCUCUGAAUCGGAUUUUCCUGGCUGUAGAGACCAGAUCAACCCUUCCAUUCCAUCGAUUUGGACCGCAGUUUCGGGAAUGAUGAUUUCGCUGGAAGUGCGGUGGUGGAUAAAGGGGAAGCAGGGUUACGUAAUUUCACUGGGUCACGCUCUGUCACCUAGGCUGGAGUGCAGUGGAACAUUCUCAGCUCACUGCAUCCUCGGCCUCCCAGGGGGCUCAAGCUAUCCUCCCGCCUCAGUCUCCCAAGUAGUUGGGACCACAGCUUUGUAUCUGGUGGAGGAGGCUUGGGCCGAAGCUGGUAAAAUGAGAAGUUAGGGGAGGAUGUCCUCAGAGAGCUGGAAGAUCACAGUCCUCAUUGUCACAACCGAUACAGUGUUGAUAGGGACAACAUAUGCCUUGGAAUGUUUCAAAUACUUUGCCACAAUUAAGGGACACUGAACAGGAACUCAGUUUUGGAAAACAAAGUGGAAUUUCUGGAAACUGCUAGCAUAAAAGCUUUGACAGGGUCACAUGCAGAUUAGCAUAAUUUUAUUACAUUUUCUAUUUUAGUCCUGUGAGAUACUAAUUUGGAUUUCAUUGUGCCCAUUGAGCGGCUUUUGUUCUUUGGCUGUGAGUUUAAUUAUUUAGUUAUUUAUGAGUGCAUCUGGGCAUAAGUGCCACAGUUUUAUUUCGGUGACAAAUUUAUGGUCAGUGAAUUUUAGUAAUUAAUGAAUAAAUUAUUUCUCCUCCAUAAAUGCCCCUGCAAUUUCUGAUUUUCAUAACAAUUCAUAAUACUUAAGAAAAAUUCUUUAUUAGUUGAAAAAGCCAAUGCUAAUGGAAUCAGGAAAAGGAGAUUUCAAAUUGCUUUAAUUAACUGUAUUAAUUAAUAUCCAAUAUGUGUAAGAUAUUGAAUUGGCUUUGGUUGUCUCUCUUAGCAUUUAGUUGCCUAAAAUCUGUUUAACAUAUGAAUAUACUGUGUUAAAAUAAAUUCUAAUUCUUUUGUGAAGUAAAUGGCAAGAAUAAAAGGAUCUCCUUUAUAAUCUUUAA